CAAGCUGCACACUCUGGUUUUCAUGUACUCUUGAUUCUACGCAACAAGUCAUACUGAUUGCAUAAAAUCGUUUUUACGCUUAUACCCUUGUCUUCUUCUUCUCCGAAACUUGACUUGAAGCAUAUUUCUAGGCUUCCUCCUGUGUGUGGAUCAGCACAUCCGCAAGUCUUGUGAGCCUUUGCACCCCCGUGCAAGGCGUGACAGUCGCUGCAAUCCUUCUUCCGUACGCGCACUGUUUCCAUAGUCAUGUCGGCGCUGCCAAUGGACACCAUUGCCUUAUUCAUUGCAAUUUGCUUGGCAUUUCCAAAUCCCAUUCCAGCAUCCGAUGGCGUUAAUCACAC